rnacentral:tRNA from 1 species
GAUGGUAUGGUCCAGUGAUACAGCAUUUGCCUAGCAUGUGUGAGGCCCUGGGUUCAAUCCCCAGUACCACCA